rnacentral:rRNA from 1 species
GACGAACGCUGGCGGCGUGCCUAAUACAUGCAAGUUGAGCGCUGAAGGUUGGUACUUGUACCAACUGGAUGAGCAGCGAACGGGUGAGUAACGCGUGGGGAAUCUGCCUUUGAGCGGGGGACAACAUCUGGAAACGAAUGCUAAUACCGCAUAAAAACUUUAAACACAAGUUUUAAGUUUGAAAGAUGCAAUUGCAUCACUCAAAGAUGAUCCCGCGUUGUAUUAGCUAGUUGGUGAGGUAAAGGCUCACCAAGGCGAUGAUACAUAGCCGACCUGAGAGGGUGAUCGGCCACAUUGGGACUGAGACACGGCCCAAACUCCUACGGGAGGCAGCAGUAGGGAAUCUUCGGCAAUGGACGAAAGUCUGACCGAGCAACGCCGCGUGAGUGAAGAAGGUUUUCGGAUCGUAAAACUCUGUUGGUAGAGAAGAACGUUGGUGAGAGUGGAAAGCUCAUCAAGUGACGGUAACUAAUCAGAAAGAGACGGCUAACUACGUG